rnacentral:rRNA from 1 species
UUAUUACUAGUUGCCAGCAUUUAGUUGGGCACUCUAGUGAGACUGCCGGUGACAAACCGGAGGAAGGUGGGGAUGACGUCAAAUCAUCAUGCCCCUUAUGACCUGGGCUACACACGUGCUACAAUGGCGUAUACAACGAGUUGCCAACCCGCGAGGGUGAGCUAAUCUCUUAAAGUACGUCUCAGUUCGGAUUGUAGGCUGCAACUCGCCUACAUGAAGUCGGAAUCGCUAGUAAUCGCGGAUCAGCACGCCGCGGUGAAUACGUUCCCGGGUCUU